AUGGCGGCGCUCGUGGAGCUCUUCACGAGAUCCUUGUCGUCCUCGACGCCCGUGGACUGGGAGGCGGAGGCCUACCCGGCGUACGGCGACUACGCCGUUCUCCCCAUCCUCGUCGCCUUCUUUCCCGCCCUGCGCUUCCUCCUCGACCGGUUCGUCUUUGAGAUAUUAGCAAGAAGACUUAUAUUUGGAAAAGGAUAUGACAAGCUUGCUGAAACAGACGAAAGGAGAAAGAAAAUCAAUAAAUUUAAGGAGUCGGCCUGGAAAUUUGUUUAUUUUCUUUCGGCAGAGGUCCUUUCAUUAUCUGUAACAUACAAUGAGCCAUGGUUUACAAACACCAGAUACUUCUGGGUAGGGCCUGGUGAGCAGCUCUGGCCUGAUCAAAAGAUGAAACUGAAGCUUAAGGCUGUAUACAUGUAUGCUGCUGGAUUUUACACAUAUUCCAUCUUUGCCCUUCUGUUCUGGGAAACAAGACGCAAGGAUUUUGGAGUCUCGAUGUCUCACCAUGUGGCGACUGUUGUUCUGAUUGUUAUGUCCUACAUUUGCAGAUUAUCUCGUGCUGGCUCGGUCAUUUUAGCCGUCCAUGAUGCGAGUGAUAUAUUCCUAGAGAUCGGAAAGAUGGCCAAGUAUAGUAGCUGUGAGGGGCUAGCUGUUGUAGCAUUUCUACUUUUUGUGGCUUCUUGGAUCCUUCUUCGGCUAAUAAUUUUCCCUUUCUGGAUCCUGAGAAGCACAAGCUAUGAAGUAGCUGUGAUCCUUGACAAGGAGAAAAAAGAAUUUUACAGCUCCGUAUACUACUAUCUUUUCAACAGUCUCCUGUUCUCACUUCUAGUCCUUCACAUAUAUUGGUGGGUACUGAUUUACCGAAUGCUAGUCAAACAAAUCCAAUCCAGAGGACGUGUUGGUGACGAUGUUCGAUCCGAUUCUGAGGGUGAAGAAGACCACGAAGAUUAA
rnacentral:rRNA from 1 species